AGGACCUCGCCGCGCCGAAAAUCGCCGCUGGCGAUGGUGGAGGUUAAAACACCUUCACCUCUACCCCUUCUACCCGCAUUGAUUCUCUCUUUCACAAUCCAACCUAGCUUCAUCACUCCUAGCCAAAUUCCAAUCGAAGUAAGUAACCGAGAAUCCUAAAAGAGGAAAUUCAAAUUAAACGCCGACGAAGCCUAAUCCAGGUUCCAGAGCUAGGGCUAUUGUCUUAGCAUUCAUACUACAAACUGGUAACA
rnacentral:lncRNA from 1 species